rnacentral:piRNA from 1 species
UGGUGACUUCUAGAACUACUGCGGAAA